rnacentral:rRNA from 1 species
GACGAACGCUGGCGGCGUGCUUAACACAUGCAAGUCGAACGGGAAGGCCCUGCUUUUGUGGGGUGCUCGAGUGGCGAACGGGUGAGUAACACGUGAGUAACCUGCCCUUGACUUUGGGAUAACUUCAGGAAACUGGGGCUAAUACCGGAUAGGUGCUCCUGCUGCAUGGUGGGGGUUGGAAAGUUUCGGCGGUUGGGGAUGGACUCGCGGCUUAUCAGCUUGUUGGUGGGGUAGUGGCUUACCAAGGCUUUGACGGGUAGCCGGCCUGAGAGGGUGACCGGCCACAUUGGGACUGAGAUACGGCCCAGACUCCUACGGGAGGCAGCAGUGGGGAAUAUUGCACAAUGGGCGGAAGCCUGAUGCAGCAACGCCGCGUGCGGGAUGACGGCCUUCGGGUUGUAAACCGCUUUCGCCUGUGACGAAGCGUGAGUGACGGUAAUGGGUAAAGAAGCACCGGCUAACUACGUG